AUUGAACGCUGGCGGCAGGCCUAACACAUGCAAGUCGAGCGGAUGCAGGGAGCUUGCUCCUGGAUUCAGCGGCGGACGGGUGAGUAAUGCCUAGGAAUCUGCCUGGUAGUGGGGGAUAACGUCCGGAAACGGGCGCUCAUACCGCAUACGUCCUGAGGGAGAAAGUGGGGGAUCUUCGGACCUCACGCUAUCAGAUGAGCCUAGGUCGGAUUAGCUAGUUGGUGGGGUAAAGGCCUACCAAGGCGACGAUCCGUAACUGGUCUGAGAGGAUGAUCAGUCACACUGGAACUGAGACACGGUCCAGACUCCUACGGGAGGCAGCAGUGGGGAAUAUUGGACAAUGGGCGAAAGCCUGAUCCAGCCAUGCCGCGUGUGUGAAGAAGGUCUUCGGAUUGUAAAGCACUUUAAGUUGGGAGGAAGGGCAGUAAGUUAAUACCUUGCUGUUUUGACGUUACCAACAGAAUAAGCACCGGCUAACUUCGUG
rnacentral:rRNA from 1 species